UGUGUGAGAGAAUGCUCUGCUGGCAGCCUGCAGUGCAGAAUGGGGACUUAACCUGGCCCCAGUCGCCUUGCUGGAUUUGGGGUUGGUCACUGAGUCUGUGGAAGCCCUGACCUCGUGUGCCAGCUGUUGAUGAGGUUGAUCCUCUUCCCCUGUUCCUCUGCCCAGCCUAGCUGGGGAAAAUUCCUGUGUUGGACCACCUUGGGAGGAAAAGUGCUGAGGAGCAAGCAAAUUCUCAGGCACAAAGGAAGGUCAGUGUGGGAGGGUACCUGCCUUGCAGCCCUGAAUAGGUGAAGUCAGCAGGAUUCAGUGGAGAUGCUGGAGAUGGACAUCUUGCUGUUAUUGUGCAGAUCUUGUGCUUCCCCACAGAUGCACUGAAGAUAUUUUCAAAAAACACAUG